UACGUAGGGAGCAAGCGUUGUCCGGAAUCAUUGGGCGUAAAGCGCGCGUAGGUGGCCAUGUAAGUCCGCUGUGAAAGUCAAAGGCUCAACCUUUGAAAGCCGGUGGAUACUGCAUGGCUAGAGUACGGAAGAGGCGAGUGGAAUUCCUGGUGUAGCGGUGGAAUGCGCAGAUAUCAGGAGGAACACCAAUAGCGAAGGCAGCUCGCUGGGACGUUACUGACACUGAGGCGCGAAAGCGUGGGGAGCGAACAGGAUUAGAAACCCCAGUAGU
rnacentral:rRNA from 1 species